AGAGUUUGAUCAUGGCUCAGGACGAACGCUGGCGGCGUGCUUAACACAUGCAAGUCGAACGGAAAGGCCCUUCGGGGUACUCGAGUGGCGAACGGGUGAGUAACACGUGGGUGAUCUGCCCUGCACUCUGGGAUAAGCCUGGGAAACUGGGUCUAAUACCGGAUAGGACCGCAUGCUUCAUGGUGUGUGGUGCAAAGCUUUUGCGGUGUGGGAUGAGCCCGCGGCCUAUCAGCUUGUUGGUGGGGUAAUGGCCUACCAAGGCGACGACGGGUAGCCGGCCUGAGAGGGUGACCGGCCACACUGGGACUGAGAUACGGCCCAGACUCCUACGGGAGGCAGCAGUGGGGAAUAUUGCACAAUGGGCGCAAGCCUGAUGCAGCGACGCCGCGUGAGGGAUGACGGCCUUCGGGUUGUAAACCUCUUUCAGUAGGGACGAAGCGAAAGUGACGGUACCUACAGAAGAAGGACCGGCCAACUACGUGCCAGCAGCCGCGGUAAUACGUAGGGUCCAAGCGUUGUCCGGAAUUACUGGGCGUAAAGAGCUCGUAGGUGGUUUGUCGCGUUGUUCGUGAAAACUCACAGCUUAACUGUGGGCGUGCGGGCGAUACGGGCAGACUAGAGUACUGCAGGGGAGACUGGAAUUCCUGGUGUAGCGGUGGAAUGCGCAGAUAUCAGGAGGAACACCGGUGGCGAAGGCGGGUCUCUGGGCAGUAACUGACGCUGAGGAGCGAAAGCGUGGGGAGCGAACAGGAUUAGAUACCCUGGUAGUCCAA
rnacentral:rRNA from 1 species